rnacentral:lncRNA from 1 species
CAAGUUUUAUUAGCAAAACCUUCACUAGAUCCUUACAAACAUAUAUAUCAUAAUGGAUAGAUCACUAGUAAGAAUUAGUUCAUUAUUUUUACUAGUUAUACUAAUUAACCAUAUUGUUUUGCCAACAAAUGCUCGAGUUAUAUCUGGUACAACUUCCGCUAGUGAGUUAGAAGCAUGUCCCCCUAGCGAUGAGAUUGCAACGAGCCUCAUGGGUGAAGAACCUGCUCCUUCUUUCACUGAAGUGGAAGUCACGUCAAAAUCAAAUGUUGUUGAUUCUCAAGUGAACACCGAUGAAAUAGCAGCUUGUCCUCCCAAAAAUUGACCACAAAUUUAUGCAUUCAGUUUGAAGUAAAGAACUUAAAUAAGAAAUCCUAUCAAAAAAAUUUAAACUGAUGUGUAUGUUGGAACCUUCAACGAUGUAUGCUUUGUUUCUAAAUGAAUAAUAAAAGCAUGUGUUGU